rnacentral:rRNA from 1 species
CACGUAGGCACCAAGCGUUGUCCGGAUUUAUUGGGCGUAAAGAGCUCGUAGGCGGUUCAGUAAGUCGGGUGUGAAAACUUUGGGCUUAACCCAAAGCGUGCAUCCGAUACUGCUGUGACUUGAGUUCGGUAGGGGAGUGAGGAAUUCCUAGUGUAGCGGUGAAAUGCGCAGAUAUUAGGAGGAACACCGGUGGCGAAGGCGCCACUCUGGGCCGAAACUGACGCUGAGGAGCGAAAGCAUGGGUAGCAAACAGG